rnacentral:lncRNA from 1 species
CACCUCUCCCAAUACUUCUUAGGCCUCCCUCUGCCUCGCCGACCGCCAACAAUCUCCAGCCGCUCGCAGCUCCUCACCGGGGCAUCGGAACUUCUCGCAUCUCGCAUCUUCUCAUCCACCGGGGCCACCCCCACAUUCUCUCGAAUAACGUCAUUCUUAAUCUUAUCUAGCCUGGUGAGACCGCACAUCCACCUAAGCAUCUUCAUCUCCGCAACCUUCAUUCUCUGAACAUGAGAGUUCUUCACGGGCCAGCACUCCGCCCCAUACAUCGCAGGUCUAACCACGGCUCUAUAGAAUUUCCCCUUGAGUUUGUGUGGAACUUUCUUGUCACACAGGACUCCUGAUGCAAGCCUUCACUUUGACN